rnacentral:misc_RNA from 1 species
GUGGGAGGGGGCUUGCCCCCGAUGGCGGUGUGUCAGUCACUGUAUGUAUAGACUGAACCCCUGCUAUCGGGGGCAAGCCCCCUCCCAC